rnacentral:lncRNA from 1 species
GAUUGGUGUUGACCCAAUAUUUUUGAUAAUACGGUGGCACUGUCUUGCCUGUCAUCCAAAAAUGAUUGGUAUCUUCCUCUGAGUGGGGGAAUCUCCACUAUCGCUCGAUCAGCCAUCGAGUGCCUCGGAAGAGCACAUUGGCAAGAGGUUCUAUUUGGCAUGGGAGGUAUUAAAAAAGUCUACUGCUCCGAUGAGAGAGUCGGACUGACGAUCAUUGGAGGUUGCUUCAGCAUUGUUCUCCAUAAAAA